GGGGAAUAUUGGACAAUGGGCGCAAGCCUGAUCCAGCCAUGCCGCGUGGGUGAAGAAGGCCUUCGGGUUGUAAAGCCCUUUUGUUGGGAAAGAAAAGCAGCCGGCCAAUACCCGGUUGUUCUGACGGUACCCAAAGAAUAAGCACCGGCUAACUUCGUGCCAGCAGCCGCGGUAAUACGAAGGGUGCAAGCGUUACUCGGAAUUACUGGGCGUAAAGGGCGCGCAGGCGGCGAGGCAAGUCCGGUGUGAAAGUGCUCGGCUCAACCGAGUGAUGCGCUGGAAACUGCCCUGCUUGAGUACAGGAGGGGACGUCGGAAUUCCAGGUGUAGGGGUGAAAUCUGUAGAUAUCUGGAAGAACACCGGUGGCGAAGGCGGACGUCUGGCCAUGUACUGACGCUGAGGCGCGAAGGUGCGGGGAGCGAACA
rnacentral:rRNA from 1 species